rnacentral:lncRNA from 1 species
CUGUGUAGCACAACUCCUCCGCUCUCCUCCUCUCCUUCUCUUCUCUUCUUUACCUUCUAAAAGCCUCUGCCAGUGAUCUCUAUAGUAUAGGGCCAGCCAUCAAAACCCACCUUUAUCGUUCCUGUUCCCUGAUUGCUGCCACCUUCCCUGGGAUGACCUCAGCCACUUCCCAGUACAGCCGCUUCCCUUCCCAAUGGCAGUGUUUCCUUCCCACCUUGCAUACCCCCAGGUUGGCGUGUGCUGAGCAGGGUGUCCUUGUUGCUCCCUGUGGAUCCCAGGCCUUCCUUCCCUUGUGAUGCCCUCACCCACGUCCAGUUCUCCACCCAUGUCAUCCGUUCCUGCUACCCACCACCCCUGUGGAUGCUGUCUGCCGGUUCCUGGCUUGUUCCCUUCACAUUGUUUGAAGUCUGUGGUUCCUGACUCCCGGUUCAUUGUUGUCGGCAUGACUUAUCCUGAGCCAUACAGAAACUGGUAUCAGUUUUUGCAACAAUCAAACUAAAAUACAUGACGUUAGCUUCGUGAGAAGUUUUAGAGGUGAGAAGAAAGAGACAGAAGAGUCUGGAGAGCUGGGGACCUAUGCUGUGGAGCAGCAGAGCAUUUGUCAAAACCCCGUGUGUACUGAGAUCACAGCCCCAGAGGAAAGUCGGGAAACAGAGUGUGUG